rnacentral:rRNA from 1 species
GACGAACGCUGGCGGCGUGCCUAAUACAUGCAAGUAGAACGCUGAAGGAGGAGCUUGCUUCUCUGGAUGAGUUGCGAACGGGUGAGUAACGCGUAGGUAACCUGCCUGGUAGCGGGGGAUAACUAUUGGAAACGAUAGCUAAUACCGCAUAAGAGUAGAUGUUGCAUGACAUUUGCUUAAAAGGUGCAAUUGCAUCACUACCAGAUGGACCUGCGUUGUAUUAGCUAGUUGGUGAGGUAACGGCUCACCAAGGCAACGAUACAUAGCCGACCUGAGAGGGUGAUCGGCCACACUGGGACUGAGACACGGCCCAGACUCCUACGGGAGGCAGCAGUAGGGAAUCUUCGGCAAUGGACGGAAGUCUGACCGAGCAACGCCGCGUGAGUGAAGAAGGUUUUCGGAUCGUAAAGCUCUGUUGUAAGAGAAGAACGAGUGUGAGAGUGGAAAGUUCACACUG